CCUACGGGAGGCAGCAGUGGGGAAUCUUGCGCAAUGGAGGAAACUCUGACGCAGCGACGCCGUGUGAGCGAUGAAGGCCUUCGGGUUGUAAAGCUCAGUCAUCGGGGAUGAUAAGGACAGUACCCGAGGAGGAAGCCCCGGCUAACUACGUGCCAGCAGCCGCGGUAAU
rnacentral:rRNA from 1 species